UCAUCAUAAUAAUUGGUGAUAAUAUUUUUUAUCAUAAUCUCUCGUCCAAGUUUUGUUAGCAGCCAGAUCGACUUUAGCUCUUUCAACAUAUGUUUUUGUUUAAUGAACACAAUUUGACCAAAUUAAACUUGUCUGCCAUUGCACUCACAAUCACUGUAACACAGUUUUCUAAACAGGCGUAUGUUGUUGGCAUUCUCGUUGUUCAUUUAUUUGGAUUAUGAACUGAGUGAAAAAAUGAGCCCUGUCUAAGCAUAAAUACCAUAAUAAUUUAUGCACUUGGCGUAAUUUUCUUGACAAUUUACAUAUCUUUCGGUGUACUGCUCACAUUGCAAAACUUUGCAAUGCUUUGUAGAGUUUAUGCCCUGUGUCUAACUUCAUGUCAAAUGGUGACUUGCCUACUUAAAAUGACCUUGUUGAGAUGAAUAGGAUAAUCUCGUGCUGAUGCAACUGUUUCACGUUGUUUCUAUUUUAUUUUACAGGAAAAACUGUCAAUUUACAAAGCACCCUUCCCUGAAAAUCUGGCCAAGCUAAUACACAAUGUGAAUGCAUCAACGUGACCCUUCAGAGAAACAGGAUUCCAGGCCGAAUGUCAAACCGUCUGGGCUCCAGCAGCAGCCUCAGCCGUGGGGGUCAGGUUCAUGAUGCACCUAUGCUCUCAAUGCUCUAUGAGCAUCUUAAUCUCACAGCAACAGUGGAUAACAUGACCUUCAAGUUGGGGAUGAAUAUAUUUGUCUUUUGACGGAUCUUGGUCAGUGUCUAGCAGUAUCCUAUCAACUAAGCCACGUCCGCAAAGCAGCGAUUUGUCUUCCACGUUUGAGCUACCUUUUUGCCACGGUUGAGGGUCUCCCAAAACCACCCAGUGCCUUGCGAUGAAAACCUCCAACGG